rnacentral:piRNA from 1 species
UGCUUCAGUUCAAUAAACUCACCUUUUGU